rnacentral:rRNA from 1 species
CAGUCGCCGCGGUAAUACGAAGGGGGCUAGCGUUGCUCGGAAUGACUGGGCGUAAAGGGCGCGUAGGCGGUUUGUACAGUUGGAUGUGAAAUUCCUGGGCUUAACCUGGGGGCUGCAUUCAAUACGUGCAGGCUUGAGUGUGGAAGAGGGUUGUGGAAUUCCCAGUGUAGAGGUGAAAUUCGUAGAUAUUGGGAAGAACACCGGUGGCGAAGGCGGCAACCUGGUCCAUUACUGACGCUGAGGCGCGAAAGCGUGGGGAGCAAACAGGAUUAGAUACCCCUGUAGUCCCUGUCUCUUAUAC